AGGUUGGACGUAAAAAAGCCUCGCGAUAAGAAUUAUCGCUCGAUAUUACGGAUUAACCGAGCAGAAAAGAUGACAAUAAGGAUUAAUCACUUUGUCAUUUAUAUUAUGUAUGUAUGCACAUAUAUAUAUAUAUAUAUAUAUAUAUAUGUACGUACUGUUUACAUGCAUAUACAAUGUAUUUUCACUGACAUUACGAAAGUACUUAUAUAUAAGCGGCUUUUCUAUUGUCAGCAAUUAUCCUACCAGAGACUACAAUGAAAAUUAUUUAUACUAAAUAGAUAUUUAGUAAAUAGAUCAUUAUUUUAUUUUUGCAGUAUUUGACUGUGAGAAACGUUGAAAGAUUAAAAAAUUCGAUUGGAACAAAGGAAAAUCUUUGGUGACAAAAGAAGAAACUUUCUCAAAGACGCAAAUCUUUUUUUCAUGCGUCAACUACUUACAUAAAUAUGCGUACAUAAAAAGUUCUUGGCCUCGGUAAUAAUAAUUCGCGAGCGUACGAUAAAUGACCUCGUCGACAGCAUCUCGGAGAGUUAUCAAUUGUUUUCAAACGAUACGAGAGACAUCGAGAAAGAGAGAGACGGUGAAAAAAAAACUGAUAUGGAAUAGUUCUUUGUUACUUUUUAUCGCUCUAUAAGCGAUCUCUGCAUUUUAUUCUCUCGUUAUGCAUUUAUCGUGUGCAUGUGUGUCGAAGAGAUUGAAAAGAAAACGGAGACGGUGAAAUUAAAGAAGGCGAAAGUUGAGCGAGAUUUUGUAAAAAAAAGAAUAAAGAAGAAUUAGAAAAAAGAUAAAUAAAAAAAACUAUAACGAGCCGCAAAAUAUCGAACACAACAUAAUACACAGGAUGGCGCGACGAGGCGACGCCGUUACGCGGAAAACAAAGAAUCGAAACGUUCCCUCGGCACUGGGUGUGGCGAGAGAGUAAUAUCAUCGUCGUUGGAUAUUACUCGAGAUAAAUCGAAGACGAAGGGGAUUUAACGGAAAAAUUGCUUGACCUCGUCGUUUACCCCUGUAAUGAACAUUCGUCGCAAUAAAUACGCUUCGAUCGCGUAUUUACUCUCGCAAUGUUAUUUAUAUAAGUAUAAGAAUCCUUUCAAAGUACUCUAUCGGAUCACGAAAUAAGACUGAAUAUACGAUGACGCCUUUUCGAUUUAAUUAAAAAAAAAGAUAUAAAAACGAUCAGAAAACGAUCUUGUCGGGGGCCUAUUUUCGAAGAAAUAUUUAUUCAUCUCUUACUUUUCUUAUCUAUAUAUGUAUCUUUUCUCUCUUCUUUUAUAUAUAUAUAUUUUUUUCUUUGUAAACACCGAUAAAAAAGAUAAUAUAAUGGGGAAAAAGAAGAAAAAAGAAAAAGAAAACCGUAGAACAGUUUGUCUCAUAGCUAAGAUGAAGAACGAUGGAGAGGAAAAUCUAAUAUGCGGGUAGUAAAAUUCGUGUUCUCUUUCGUGAAACUGUCAUGGCGUUUCGUUGGAAGAUUUCUCUUGCGCACGCGUGUGCGUGUAUAUACCGCGUGCGUGAGAAGGGGGUGCAGGAAGCACGGGUGUGGUUCGAUCAAUACGGACAUCCCAUAGAUCUAUCGGUAUACGAGCGCACAAUACACACAGACAGACCCCACACACAUUUAGAAGGAUACGGAGAGCCUCUGUCACCCAUAGGAUGACCGAAAAUUUGUCUGCCCUUUUUUUACGGGAUAAUACCAAAUGAAAGUUUAUCUUUUUAUAGGAAAAACUCGAUCUUAUCUCACGUAUAUGGUAUCGAUCGAUCUAAAUAUAUUCUGUUAUCGCAUACGUGCUUACAAGCAUAUUAAUUAUAAUUAUUAAAACAAUUGCGAUGACCAUUGAGUUAUGAUUGUAAGCAAGAUGUUCUAAAAAAAAGAAGAAGAAAAAUAUAUAUCUGAA